rnacentral:lncRNA from 1 species
CUAAGUAUAGGGGCUGUGUUGUGAAUGUAUUAAAUACAGUUGAUCUCAACAUUCUGAGCACUUUCGGUUUGCAGUAACGACCUGAUCUCCAUUGCAGGUAGAAAAAAAAGCAUCAAGUCCUUCAGAGAACCUGUGCUGCAAACUCCUGCCUCUGUUGUGCAAUUUCCGGUAACCAUUGAUGAACCAUCAGACACCUGCUGCAUUGGAAUGCAAUGUCAGCCGAUAUGUGGACCAACUCCAGUUGCCAUCAGUUGUCCGCAGCCAGUGAUUAAACCUAUCUGUUGUCCGCAGCCAGAGAUGGAUCCUAACUGUUGUCUGCAGCCAGAGAUGGAUCCUAACUCCCCACCAGGCACCAGAUGGUUUGUCCCAUCAAGAUGGAGCCCUAAACAGAAGGCAAAACAGUGCCACAAGGAAGUGCUAAGCCCCUUCUCUGUCUUCCAGGUUGUCUGCAGCCAGAGAUGGAUCCUAACUGUUGUCUGCAGCCAGAGAUGGAUCCUAACUGUUGUCUGCAGCCAGAGAUGGAUCCUAACUGCUGUCUGCAGCCAGAGAUGGAUCCUAACUGUUGUCCGCAGCCAGAGAUGGAUCCUAACUUAAUCUUGCAGAAAACUACAACAGAACCUGGGCCACCUGUAAUAGUGAGACAAGACACAGGUUGCACAGAUGGAAGACUUCCCAAAAAAAAAGCAGAUUCCAAAGCCCAGAUGAUAAAACACGGAAGGGCAGUCUUCCCGCAAGGAUGCAGGGAGACAUCGAAGAAGAAAACGGUGUUAGGUACCAAUGAGCCCUUUACAACGCUGCACAAAAAAGAGAUAAUAGGAAGAAUCAAGAGCACCCAUGCGGGGAUUGGGAACAGAGGACGGCUGAAGGGCGAGGCCAGGACUCCAAAGUUGAGCGACUCCCACCACAGGAACAGAUCUCGACUGCUCGAGUGCAACGAAGCCCAUGAAAGAAGGUGCGUGGGUGGCGUUCUAAAGAGACGCGAGGCCCAGACAACCAAUCAGAAAGGAAUUCCAAGAAGACUGGAAUCUCAAGUAAGGUUUCAAACAAAGCUCGAAAAAGAAAUUUCAGCUGAAGCCCUUUGGUGUGAACCAACACCACCAGUUUGCAGAAAUCCGGAAUCCCUCAUGAGGAAAAAUGUGGAAGGCAUACUGAAGAGACAGGAUUCACUUGAGGAAUAGCCACCGGCCACACAGAACCCCCAAGAAUGGUGUGCUGCUCCACCUCCUUGCCCUCUGCAACCCCAGCCAGAUGCACCUCCUCCUGCUACAAUUUAAGCCCCGCCAGAGGCACCUCCUGCUCCACCACGUGGGCCAUAGGGGCUUCCACUGUGAUCUUCAGGUUCAAGCUGUGUCUCUGCCCUCACCCCGGUGGAACAUGGUUACAAAAUCCAUUUCCUCUAGACAUCUUCGUUUUCUGCUAUUCAGAAGUUUGCCGUUAUUAGACUUCCCUGCCACAAACUACAUCUUCCCAAUUUUUCUCUGUAAGCCAAUACGUAUUAUAGACUCCAAUGAAGAAAGACAGUGUUCUCAGAAAUAAAAUGUCUUUACUAAAUAUCUAAUAACAUCCUUUGGCAGUGUUCUGUCUCUAGCUCACCUAGUUGACCUUAUGACCUUGAUGGCUGCAAAUGCUUUAUGAUCCACCAAAAAAAAAAAAAAAAAAAACCCAUAGGAAAUAAAGUCAGACCUCCUGCAACCAAGCAGUUUAUGACAGAAAGUGUCCAUGUAAGCACAAUCAUUUUAUUAAGAAUCAGUAUUAAAAUGUGUCCAAAAGUAGUUUAAAUGCAC